GAGUCCUGGGCGGGGACUGGGCGUGUCCCUUGCCUUGGGGCUGUGCUUGUAGGAGCGAGAGGGAUGGGGCUGCGGGAUUCUAAAUAUGAUUUUUAUUGCGACUGUGGGACUGGUUGAGUGCUUGUAAAGUGUGCUGUUGUGAUCACCCGUUUCCAACGUGUAUAUCUGGUGGUUGCUGUGCAGGUGUAAUGUGAUGUGUGUUGUGGUUCCGGGAUGUUGUGAUUGUGAAAGCGAUUUCUUUCGGUAGCCUUUAUCCCUGGGGGUGUGCCUAUAGUUCUGUUUGUGUCUCUGGGUUCGGUGACCUUGCGUAGUACUGUGUGCGGCGUUCUGUGUCCGUGACUCUGCAUCGGCGCUGCGUGGGUAUCCUUGCUGUGUUCCUCGGGGGGAAGGGGAGGGGCGGGAAAGUGCUUUGUGACAGUGUGUGACGCUGUGUGCGCGCGGGUGUGGACCAUCUUUGCUCAUGAGUGAAUGUUCAGUUACGGUUGGAUGAUGCAGAGGACUGUGCUCCUCCGUGUGUGAGUGUGACUGUGUAGGGGGUCCUGUAGGGGUGUUAGUAAUGGACCCGGGAAGUGACAGGAUAGCUGAUUGUUGCCUGUGUCCUUGUGGGUCUCAGGAGUGGCUGAAUGAAGCUAAACGCCGGUGUACACAGCCCUGUAAUCCCACCAUUUAGUCUCCUGAGGCAGGAGGAUCUCAAAAUCAAGGCCAGCCGGAGAUACGUUGCAAAACUGUGUCUAAAAAAAAAAAAAGAAAGGUGGCUGGUUGCUGGAGAGAUGCCUAAGGGUGUAAAGUUUUUGUGGCACAAGCAUGAGGCUCUGAGCUUGGAUCUCCAAAGUCAGUUGUCGUGGUGUGUUUGUGUAGGAUCCGGAGACAGUCUCCAAAAGCUCUCAGGUAAACUAGCCUGGAGUAUGUCGCAGUGAUUCGACCACAAAGUCAAGAGCUAGCACCAGCGUUCAAGUCUUCAUGUGCCUGAAUAUGUGCACACACACAAAGAUAAGUACAUGUUUUUCGGGCUGGAGAGAUGGCUCAGACGUUAAGAACACUGUCUGCUCUUCCCCAGGUCCUGAGUUCAAUUCCCAGCAACCACAUGGUGGCUCACAACCAUCUAUCAUGAGAUCUGUUGCCCUCUUCUGGUGUGGAGGUGUACAUGCAGGCAGAACAUUGUAUACAUAAUAAAUCUUUAAAAUCUAUAUCCACUCCUAAAAAGGGGAAAGUGUUGGUGUGCAGUUUCGACAUUAAUGUCUUGCAGUAGCCAAGUGUGUCAAUGAUGUGGCUCUACUGUGAAGAGCCUGUGAAGUUUGAGCAGAUUCUGGCCCUGGACAGCAGUGACCUCAGCUUUACAAGGACUUGUCAUUUCUAAGCCAGAUGUCAUCUUCUUAUUGGAGCAAGGGAAAGAAACAUGGAUGGUUACAAAUUAUAUGACAAGACCUUGGCAUCCAGUUUUCAGACUUGGAGUCAAAGUACAACAGAGUUCCACAGAAAGGCCUUUUGAAACAGUCGUUCAGACGGGAGUGGUGAGACGCUGCUUUCCACACCAGGACUGUGAGGAUAGCUGGGAGUGCAGAGACCGGCUUGAGAGACAGCGAGCAAGCCGGGGGUGUCGUUUCCAGCGUGUGGGAAUCACCGGGGAAGGCAUGCCUACUUUCGGUGUCACCCGUCUGUCACCCUGCUACAGCAGAGCAACACAACUGUUGACACACUGACUGAAUGUAGUGACGGCUGUGGCUCACGCUGGUGAGAAGCCCUCUGAACGGAAGGCCUGUGGGAAGGCCUUUAGUCGCAGUUCAUACCUCACUCAACGUCAGAGAAUCCGCACAGGUGGCAGGCCUUAUGGCUGUAAGGAGGGUGGGAAGGCCUUUAUUCGUGCUCCCCAGUGGACUCAUCAUCAGAGCAUUCAUACCUAGGAGAAACCCUACAGAUGUAGGGAGUGUGGAACGGCUUAUAGUUGAAGCUCACAACUUACUGAACAUGAGAGAAUUCACCCCGGUAUUGAGCCAUACGAACGUAAAGAAUGUGGGCAGGCCUUCAUCCACGGCUCACAGCUCAUUGACCACUACCACCUCCACACUGACUGGAGUUCUCAACAUCAGUAGACAGGCCUUUAAUCGAAGGUCGCAUCUGGCCAGAGUUACGUCGCCCCCAAUGUAACUAAUGCUGGGAAAACUUCAUUCGUCUCUGCUGUUACGGGAUAUCAGAAAACUCGAUGCCAGCAAAAAGGUCCAAUGAGUGCAGGAUUCCUUUGGCUUCAUUCUCUGGUUACCAGGCGUCAGCAAACCUGUGCUAAAAAUAACUUCAUAUGAACGUAGAAAAGGCUUUUGUUACCUAUCAAAAUAUGUUCAACUCCUGAGGAUCCCAAGUAGACAGUGAACCAAUUAAAAGUGACUGGUUUGGUGUACUGAGGAACCGAGGUCCUUUAGGAGGGUGUGGCAUAGACCUUGAGGUUCUUCCUCCGCUGGUUACCGAAUGUCACUGAACGUACUAUGCAGUUUUGUCCCUCCUUGUCUCCUACUUCUUUUUAUUUUGUUUUCAAGACAGAAUUUAAUGUAACCUCGGCUGAUCUCAACAUUAUUACAUGGCUGAAGAUGGCUUUGAUCUCCCGAGCCUCCCAAAUUCUGAGAUACAGGCUUGCACCACUAUGCCCAACUCAUUUCUUUUUAGACUCUUUCAUUUUGGGUUUCUUAUGCCUCUUCUUCCCUUCUGCACCCCAAUCCCUUCCAACAUCUCAACGCCGGGUAGGAGGGAAAAAAGGUUGGUAGGGAGCAGGGCAGAGUUCUCUUAGGCUGCUUCCUGCUGGUUAGGGUUGUCGGGGCUAACCAGUCCAGUCUUCAUUGCAGGAUAACUCCAGUUUCUCAUCCAGCUGCACCCACAGCAACCAGGAGCAGCUGGGCUGAGGUGUGCCGGGGAAGCGCCAGCAGCCGCCUUCUCCCUCAGAGCCCGCUCAACACUCUGGGCCCUGGCAUUUAUUCCCUCUC